GACAGGGGUCCCAAGCGUUAGGCGGAAUCACUGGGCUUAAAGCGUGUGUAGGCGGAUGCCUAAGUACCUUGUGAAAUCCCACGGCUCACCCGUGGAACUGCUUGGUAUACUGGGUGUCUUGAGCCACUUAGGGGCUACCGGAACAAAUGGUGGAGCGGUGAAAUGCGUAGAUAUCAUUUGGAACGCCAACGGUGAAAACAGGUAGCUGGGAGUGUGCUGACGCUGAGACACGAAAGCCAGGGGAGCAAACGGG
rnacentral:rRNA from 1 species